GACUCGCUAGCUCAAUUGGUAGAGCAACUGACUCUUAAUCAGUAGGUGUUUAGGGUUCGAGUCCCUGGCAGGUCACCA
rnacentral:tRNA from 1 species